rnacentral:lncRNA from 1 species
AUACAAAUAUACUGAGAGUAAUAGACUUAUAAAUGAAGUAUCGAAUUAACUUGUAACAUACUUUUGAUUAUUGCUUGUUAAUCAUCAAAAUAACACUAUCAUCCUCAACUUUCUAGGCAUUCCUCUUACAAACUUUAUCAUGACAUUUUUUAUUUUUUUCUUGUUUAUCAAGAAUAUCGAAUUAGGAUUCAUGUUUUUCAAGAACUUUGAUUUAGUAUACAUCUUUGAUACGAAAACAAUUCUGCCAAGAACGAAAUAUGAUAUCAAAACCCAUAAUCAAAAUCUUUGCUUUGUAUAGCUCCAAAACCAAACUUUUAAAAUG